AGCUGGACGCGACGGCAGCCCGGGCCCAGAAUAAUGGCUGACCCACCCGGUCCCGCGACUUCCGGUUGCUCGGCGCGUCUCCCCCUACCCUGCUCUCUAGGAAGCCACUUCUCUAUGGUUCCCUGCUUUUCCCAGAGGAGGAGAGGUUAGGAGAGGGGGUUUUCCUACCCUUGGGUCUCCGUGGCCUGAAACUACGGAGUAGAGGCUGCUGCAUUCUGGACCCAAAGGAUGCAGAGGGUAUUUUGCUUCUCUGAAGCCUCAGAAGUCGGCUCAACCAGUUCUCAAGCACAGCCUGGAAGUGGGAGAAAAUAUUCCCAAGGACAGCCUUGAAAGAAGGACAAGUAAGAAUUGCGACAGCAAAAAUGAAAUAUAUAA